AAGUCGUAACAAGGUUUCCGUAGGUGAACCUGCGGAAGGAUCAUUAACGAGCAUGAAUUGCACGAUUAGAGUUGAGCUGGUUAACCUAGUUAGCAAGUGCUCAUUCUAAUCGACAAAUCCACUCAUUACUUAACACCUGUGAACUUAUCUAUUAUAAACAUUAUAAUAUGUCAUUGGAACGUUUGAUUAUAAUAAGUUAAUACAACUUUCAACAACGGAUCUCUUGGCUCUC
rnacentral:misc_RNA from 1 species